UUCACUCUGAUGCAGAGACAUCAAGUUCUCCCUGAACCCUGAUUCCACCUUGGCCCUGGGCUUGAGGCAGUGGUGGUGGCCUCCUGGAGACCCUCAACACACCCUUCACAUAGGUGAAUGAGAGGUUCAAAGCCACCUACCCAUCCAGCAGCCUCAGCAUCUUCACUGUCAACCCAUCAGAACCCAGCUCCACUUGCUCUGUGCCAAAGAGCCAAAUACUUUCCAUACAUUAUUUCAAUUACCAUAUGUGAGAAGACUACUAUUAUUAGAGUAUUUGCAGAUGAGGAAACUGAGGCUCAGAGAGUAGAUGUACUCACCCAAGUUUACACACCUAUUCAGUGAAGAACUUGGGUCUCUAAGGCCUAGGGCCUUCACUGCUACACCACACUACCUCCCAGCCCUAUCCCUAUCCCAGGCCCUGAUCCCAUCCUGAACCAGUUCUGAGUGACCUCAGGCCUGGCCUGAAACCCCUUCAGACUGAGCCUCAAUUAAGUCCCAAGCCCUGUCUUAUUUCUCCAGCUUUCCCAUACCAGGGACAGGAUAGGUUAUGCAGGCCAAGGUGAGUUCAGGAGAGCCCCAGGGGAGGAAGGGCCUCCUGGGAAUGAUGGGUGGUUCUAUCUCCUGGGGUCCACAACGGAGCCAGCAGCAAAGGUUCCAGUUAGACCCUCUGAGGAGUGUAUGAACCUAUCCCUAGGAGCUUGGGGGCACACACUCACUCCACACACAUAGACAUAAACACAGGUACACACUCAUCCAAGUGUGCAUAUUUGGGCUCAGCAGACACAGGUACACACUAAUGUAUAUAUAGCCACAGACACAGUCAUGCAGGUCUACACAAACAAAUGUGCCAGGGCCCUGAGUGGUUGGUUUCAUGCUCACCGGACUCACACUGGGGCCUUUGAAUCUGGCUCCUCCAUGGGGCUCCAAGCAGAGCCCCUGAGGUCCUCCUCACUGCCUCUGAAUCCUUGAGUGACCUCCCUCCCGUCUUCUCUUUCACAGCCCAUCUGUGAGCAUAUGGCAGAGUCUCCAGAGUGUUCCCAGACAUCUAACCCAGUCUGCGGCACUGAUGGGGUUACAUAUGACAGUGAAUGCCAGCUUUGCUUAGUCCGGAUGAAAACCAAACAGGACAUCCAGAUCGUGAAGGAUGGCAAAUGCUGAUCCCACAGGAACCUCAUAAGCCAUGAAGCUUUGGGCUGGAGAACAGUGGUGGGAGUGGGAAGGAUGUGACAUGAAAUAAAAGAUCCAGCCCAAC